ACCUGGAAAGAAACAGAUAUGAAAACAUCCCUGGGAUUAGUUUAUAAAAUGGAUGAGAAAUUUAUAACCGCUUCCAAAAUGCUGACAGGGUAAUGAAUAAUAUAACAGGAGGAAUUAUUCAGUGGCGUUUACCCACGGCCACGAUGAAGCUAGGUACAGCUCCCAGGGUGAGGUGCACAUUUGCUUAUAAAUAAAACUCUUGUGAUUACGAUGUUAAAUAAGUUCUCUCCUUUGAGCUCUUGUCGGCCAACGUCCGGCGGCGGAUAAGUAACAAGCUCACAGCGGGCCGGCGGUGCUGACAGCCUGCUGCUGCCAAUGUCAUCUACUCGCCCUGUCAUCCCCCGUCCAGUCAAUUUGCUGUUCUCAUCUGGGCGCUCGAAGCGACCGGCGUCACGGCCGCACGCGACACUACGGACAGCAAGGAGCGGCCACACAGGACCCCUUGGGCGGGGCUGACCUUCUACCAGGACGUAGCGCCGGCCGCGUGGCUAACAGUCACACUGACCGGUGGGGAUUUACGCUUAGGUUUUAUUUUUAGUGAACUCGCCCAGACCGAGACAAAUUGACCGCGGCGUUGAAACGCUGGCAGGGAAAGGUCGAUGGCUCUGCCGCCCGUAUAUCACAGCAACGCGUUGUGCUGUGAUUUGAUGGGGGGCCGAUUCAUCCCAGACACUGUGGUGGUGCCAACGCUGAUUACAAAUGCUGUUCAAGUGUAGGUGGAAGGAGGAUCAUUACAACAGUCUGAGAGGAGGAGUUGCUGUCACCGCUUAAGAAAAAUGCAAAUGGCCUCUUGCUGAGUUAGGCUGUGGCCACUGCCAGCUGUGCUGCUGCUACAUCUCAAACAAAUGAAGGAGAAGGCAAGCAGGGGGGUGUACGGGAAGAUAUCAGACCGAGUAGACAGGAUCAACUCCAAGAGAACUGGACCACAGAAGGUUUCAAUCAGUACCAGGAGCCAGAUGUGGGCAUCAGGACACUGGCCAAAGGUACUGUACAGCGCACAAAAUACAUUAUGCUCAUUAUAUAGAAGUAGACUGUAUAGUUUAUCAUGUUAUGUUCCCAUCGUCAGCGAAUGUUGAAAUCAGAUAGCCUUGAUUAAAUGGCUCAGCCUGGACAACUGAAUAGGUUCAAUCAGAACAAUAAAGUCUUUAAUCUUUGUAAUUAUUGGAACACUAUUUAAAGGUAUGGUGUAAUGUUAUGCUGCAAUUACUUUAAUGUAAAAGCAACUCCUAGGUAUUUUCCGUUUCUAUCUCAGGUAU
rnacentral:lncRNA from 1 species